rnacentral:rRNA from 1 species
AUUGAACGCUGGCGGCAGGCCUAACACAUGCAAGUCGAACGGUAACAGGAAACGGCUUGCUGUUUCGCUGACGAGUGGCGGCCGGGUGAGUAAUGUCUGGGAAACUGCCUGAUGGAGGGGGAUAACUACUGGAAACGGUAGCUAAUACCGCAUAACGUCGCAAGACCAAAGAGGGGGACCCUCGGGCCUCUUGCCAUCGGAUGUGCCCAGAUGGGAUUAGCUUGUUGGUGGGGUAACGGCUCACCAAGGCGACGAUCCCUAGCUGGUCUGAGAGGAUGACCAGCCACACUGGAACUGAGACACGGUCCAGACUCCUACGGGAGGCAGCAGUGGGGAAUAUUGCACAAUGGGCGCAAGCCUGAUGCAGCCAUGCCGCGUGUAUGAAGAAGGCCUUCGGGUUGUAAAGUACUUUCAGCGGGGAGGAAGGGAGUAAAGUUAAUACCUUUGCUCAUUGACGUUACCCGCAGAAGAAGCACCGGCUAACUCCGUG